UGAAGAAUGAACGCUCCAAAAACAUUACUUUUCCUCCUCUCUUGUGUCAUUGGCGGAACUUUAGGUUCAACAAGCACCCGUGGUAUUCAAUGUUUCGUUCCUGGUGAAUGUUUGGACUCCCAAAUCUUGGACGCUCGUCCCACCAACACUUCUCGAUCUUGCCUUAGUCUCUGUCAAGGCUUGGCUGGUUGUGAAUGGUUUACCUGGUAUACUGAUUCCAAGGUAUGUACCUCGCUAUCCGGUUGUUUGAGCCUGACCGAGGAGAAAUGUGGAUCCAAUUGCAUCAGCGGGGAGCAAGAAUGUACCGAGAUCCAAUGCGGCAUUCAAGGACGAUGUUACGGCGCAUUGGAAGGUAUCCGAAAGGUGGGCAGUGGCAAAGAAUGCGGUUCUAUCUGUGGACAGAGGUCGGAAUGCACUUGGUUCAGCUACAGCAAUCAAACCAACUCUUGCACCAUGACCAAUGAUUGUCCGGUUUUGGAUCGAUCCUGUAAUGACUGUCAAGCAUCUGAGACACCUUGUGCCAUUGAUCAAGAAAAUCAAACCCAUGGAGUACAAUUGGUCACAGAGGACGAACCAUCAGAUUUCCUUUUUUGGAAUGACGUUAAAAUACGAUCAUUGAACACCAAAACCCUGGAAAUUCAUUCCAUCGCAACAUCAUUUGAUAAAGCAACAGUUAUGAGAGUAAGUUUUUCCCGUUUGGGUCAUAAAACAAAUCCAUACUUAUCCAGAAAAUUGUUUCGUUGAAGUAAUCUACACCAUUUGGUAAAACUUGCUUGUUUUGCCUUUUCCUAUGUUUUCCCCCAAUUCUGAAAAAAAAUCACUUAGGUCCUAAGCUUUAAAAGAAAACUUAUGUUUUAUUUGCUACUUUUCUGUUGACCAAAAGCAAGACUGUUCUCGCCCAAAUCUAAAUGCUAGGUCUGUGCGGUUCCUUUUAAAAAACAGGUUAUCCAGAUAAUCAUCAUUCAAGACGAAUUGAUUUUACGUUCAAAAAUCCCAGACAAGUGUAGUAUUUGGCAGUUCUGCUCAUUGGAUAUGCUCGUGUAUAACUCAUGUGUUCUGCUGUCGAAAUACAUUCUGUUCUUGGCGUU